rnacentral:rRNA from 1 species
GCUGGCGGCGCGCCUAAACAUGCUUNCNUGAACGAGAAGCCCGGGCUUGCCCGGNUUNGACAGUGGCGAACGGGUGAGUAACACGUGAGGAACCUGCCCCGAAGACCGGGACAACACCGGGAAACCGGUGCUAAUACCGGAUACCUUCACCGGAUCGCAUGGUCUGGUGAAGAAAUGGAUUCCGCUUCGGGAUGGCCUCGCGUCCUAUCAGCUAGUUGGUGAGGUAACGGCUCACCAAGGCGACGACGGGUAGCUGGUCUGAGAGGAUGUCCAGCCACACUGGGACUGAGACACGGCCCAGACUCCUACGGGAGGCAGCAGUUAGGAAUCUUGCGCAAUGGACGAAAGUCUGACGCAGCGACGCCGCGUGCGGGAUGAAGGCCCUCGGGUUGUAAACCGCUUUCAGCAGGGACGAAAUUGACGGUACCUGCAGAAGAAGCCCCGGCCAACUACGUGCCAGCAGCCGCGGUAAUACGUAGGGGGCAAGCGUUGUCCGGAUUUAUUGGGCGUAAAGAGCUCGUAGGUGGUUCGGUAAGUCGGAUGUGAAAUCUCCAGGCUCAACCUGGAGGGGUCAUUCGAUACUGCCGUGACUAGAGGUCGGUAGGGGAGUGUGGAAUUCCUGGUGGAGCGGUGAAAUGCGCAGAUAUCAG